AACCCCCGUGGAAAUGAGCAAAGAAACCCCUUGGUGGUGGUGGUGUUCUUCUAUCAGUUGGAGACAGAGCAAUUGGAAGUCCUUUGGUCUUCCUAGCUUGAUGCCUGACUUUGUGGCCAAAGCUGGUUUAUGCCUAUGACACAUAA